rnacentral:rRNA from 1 species
CAUGGCCCUUAUAGUGGGGCUACACACGUCAUACAAUGGCCGGUACAGAGGGUAGCCAACCCGCGAGGGGGAGCCAAUCCCAACAAAGCCGGUCGUAGUCCGGAUCGCAGUCUGCAACUCGACUACGUGAAGUCGGAAUCGCUAGUAAUCGCAAGAUCAGCAUGCUGCGGUGAAUACGUUCCCGGGUCUU